CUUGGAAUCAGUUCGGACCUGUGUCUGCUGCACAGCUGAAUCCCUGGGAAACUCUUUUAGUGUGGCAUGGCAGAAAGAACAAUGUAUAUGCCCACACAAAUACCUGCUGAUGGAGAUACAAAUGUGAUAGAAAAACAUCUCCUGAGAGAGACAUUUGAGGACUCCAAUUGGAUACUCAAAGAGAUUCUCUGGUGACCAAAAGGAGCCUUCAGUGAUCAAAUAACUUCAGUUAAGAAUUCCUGGUUUAAGAUUUUACAGGAAUACAUUGAACAUCAGGUUGAUGAUGCAAUGAUGGCAAAUGCAGCCCAGAAAUUUCCCUUCAAUAUUCCUAAAAGCAAAGAAGGAUAUUAAUAUCAUCAAAUCUUUGAAUGCCAUUACCCAGGCCAGGCUGACUGGCUGAGCCAUUACUGGAUGCCCAAGUGGAUCAAUGCCACUGACCCUUCUGCCCACACACUGACCCACUACAAGUCAGCUGCCAAAGCUUAAGUGCUCUUUAUGCUGUAAUGUGAAAGCAAAUAUUUCUUCUUGCUGCGUGGGGAUUAUGGAUAGAUAGGGGAACAAUGACAGUCAAUUCAGGCUAACUUGGGUGUGAAAAAAAUAAAAGUCCUAAAUCUAAAA
rnacentral:lncRNA from 1 species